rnacentral:rRNA from 1 species
UCGAGGCCCGAACGGACGAUCGCGAACCCGUAGAGCGCCCGUAGGGAGCGUAAGGGGGGGGUGACUGCCGCUGCCCGCAUCUACCUCCCAGGGCGCCCCUGCCGCCGCCGCCCCGCACGUCGUGCGGGGCGAGCGGCGGGAACAAAUUUCCGGUGCGGUGCGUGCCAAGGAGCAGCCCCGUCUGGAGAGCGGAGCGUGCGACAAGCUUAUAGCGCCGCAGCACGCGAAGCGAUCAUGGUACGUCUAACCUGCAUGACUCUCGGCAAUGGAUAUCUUGGCUCUCGCAUCGAUGAAGAACGUAGCAAAAUGCGAUACUUGGUGUGAAUUGCAGAAUCCCAUGAACCAUCGAGUCUUUGAACGCAAGUUGCGCCCGAGGCUAUCUGGCCAAGGGCACGCCUGCCUGGGCGUCACGCCUACCGACGCUCCGUGCCCCUCCCCCCGCCCUGUGCGGUUCGGCGGUAGGCACGGAUGCGGAGAUUGGCCCCCCGCGCAUUGCUGCGUGGCGGGUCGAAGUGCGGGCUGCCGGCCGGGCCGGAUGCGGCGAGUGGUGGAUUGACACGCACGCCGCCGCCGAAGUGACCCGGCUCGAGCGGUGCACCGGAGGAACCCACGCCGAUGGGCGCCAUGUGAGCGCUCCUUGGAACCCAACCCCAGGUCAGGCGGG